rnacentral:rRNA from 1 species
GAUGAACGCUGGCGGCAUGCCUAACACAUGCAAGUCGAGCGGACAGAGGAGGAGCUUGCUCCUCUGGCGUAAGCGGGGGUCGGGUGAGUAACAUGUCGAUGACAUAGCCAUAUGAAUGGGGUAACUUCCGGAAAACGGAGCUAAUACCGGAAGAUCUAUUGAACCCCAAGGAGCAAUAGUUUCAGACGGUUUUGCUGUCGCUUAUCGCUGAUUCCGGAGAGUAUUAGUUAGUUGGUCAGGUAACUGCUUACCCAGGCGACGACUGGUAGCCGACCUGAGCGGGUGAUCAGCCACACUGGAACUGAGACACGGUCCAGACUCCUACGGGAGGAAGCAGUAGGGAAUCUUCCGCAAUGGGCGAAAGCCUGAUGGAGCAACGCCGCGUGAAUGAAGAAGGCCUUCGGGUCGUAAAGUACUGUUAGUAGGGAGGAAGAAAUGAUUAUUUAACUAUGCACUUAUUGACGGUACCUGAAGAAGAAGCCACGGCUAACUACGUG